rnacentral:rRNA from 1 species
GAUGAACGCUGGCGGCGUGCCUAAUACAUGCAAGUCGAGCGAACAGACGAGGAGCUUGCUCCUCUGACGUUAGCGGCGGACGGGUGAGUAACACGUGGAUAACCUACCUAUAAGACUGAGAUAACUUCGGGAAACCGGAGCUAAUACCGGAUAAUAUAUUGAACCGCAUGGUUCAAUAGUGAAAGACGGUUUUGCUGUCACUUAUAGAUGGAUCCGCGCCGCGUUAGCUAGUUGGUAAGGUAACGGCUUACCAAGGCAACGAUGCGUAGCCGACCUGAGAGGGUGAUCGGCCACACUGGAACUGAGACACGGUCCAGACUCCUACGGGAGGCAGCAGUAGGGAAUCUUCCGCAAUGGGCGAAAGCUUGACGGAGCAACGCCGCGUGAGUGAUGAAGGUCUUCGGAUCGUAAAACUCUGUUAUUAGGGAAGAACAAAUGUGUAAGUAACUAUGCACGUCUUGACGGUACCUAAUCAGAAAGCCACGGCUAACUACGUG